CACGUAGGCGGACCGGAAAGUUGGAGGUGAAAUCCCAGGGCUCAACCUUGGAACUGCCUUCAAAACUAUCGGUCUGGAGUUCGAGAGAGGUGAGUGGAAUUCCGAGUGUAGAGGUGAAAUUCGUAGAUAUUCGGAGGAACACCAGUGGCGAUGGCGGCUCACUGGCUCGAUACUGACGCUGAGGUGCGAAAGCGUGGGGAGCAAACA
rnacentral:rRNA from 1 species